UACGUAGGGUGCAAGCGUUAAUCGGAAUUACUGGGCGUAAAGAGUGCGUAGGCGGCUAUGUAAGACAGAUGUGAAAUCCCUGGGCUUAACCUAGGAACUGCAUCUCAUACUGCGUAGCUAGAGUAUUGUAGAGGGUAGUGGAAUUUCCGGUGUAGCGGUGAAAUGCGUAGAGAUCGGAAGGAACACCAGUGGCGAAGGCGGCUACCUGGACAAAUACUGACACUGAUGCGCGAGAGCGUGGGGAGCAAACAGG
rnacentral:rRNA from 1 species